rnacentral:other from 1 species
CAUAUCCUGAUCUGUUCGUAAGGGCUUUAUUCUUUGAGCCAACACUUUAAAAAAGGGAGCUUGCUGUUGCUGUUUUGCUUACAUGCCUCGGUAGCUGAGGACUUAAAAUAAAUGGUACAAAGCACCCACCUGCCUGGCAGGUUCAAAGCAUCGACUUCCUACGGCAAGAUCGGGAUGACA